rnacentral:lncRNA from 1 species
GCAACGCAUACAGCACCUUGUUAAUAGUUGAGUCAAAUUACAAACUUGCGCAAAUCUAAAACAUACACAAACUUAAUUAAACAUAAAAACAGAAAAGCCGUUCAGAGCCGUGUCGGUGACAUGGACGCCGCUGAUGGCAUGGAACAGCAUUUUGCUGUGCAUACGGCCGUGCCUGGGUUAGCCGUGUUGCAGCAGCUCCGGAUGGACCUCAGCCAGCAGCAGGCUCAAGAGCUGCU